AUAAUAUUAUAGUAUUAUAAAAUAACAAUAGUAUAAUCAAACAUAGCUGGACUCCAAUGAAGGUGUAGAACCAUUUUAAGGAUGAUCAGUAGAAAUGGACAGCAGCCGAGUUCUGGAUAGUUAUGGCUGUGUGAUAUUUCAGUUUUUUUUUUUUUUUUUAAUAAAACAGCAAACAUUUCAACAAUUAAGUUUUUUUUUGCUGUGUACAUGAAUGAGGAAAAUUAUUAAUAAAUGAUUUUAACAAAUGGCUGCAAUAUAACAAAGAGUGAAAAAAUGAAGGGGGUCUGAAAACUUUCCGUACCCACUGUACAUACCGAUUUUCUUAAUUGAAUGAAUCAUUUUGAUGACGGGUGUCCUUUUUUAGCUUUAGCUAGUACCAGCUGUCCUCCAAAAUGUUGGUGCACGUGCCCGUCAAGGCCUACCAUGCCAAAAGAAUCAAAUCCAGUGAGACUGCAGCUCUGCGGAAGAGGUCCCGCCGGAAUUCCGCACACUCUCGACGGAGAAAGCCCCAGCGACUCUCGAUUCUCUGAUUCGAUGUGCUUCUCCCAACAACAAAGCUCUUGUCACCAGCAUGAACAUCAUUGUGGGUCCCACGAAGGAAACGCUGCAUAUCUCGGAUGGAACUGUUUUCUGUCCCCAUGUCAGAUCUCACCAUGCGCGCACAUCCACCGAAUUCCUUCAUGGUUUCAAUAAAGUAGCCACUGAUGACUUUUGGAUCACUGCUUGUAUGGUAUGCAAUGGUAAAAAAAGAUGCCCCCCCCCCCCCCCCCCCCAUUGGAGCUUUUUUCCACCCUUUUUAUUAGCUGAAUUACAGCAAAAAUAAUUUUGGCUACUUUUCACAUGAAAAUGGCCAAAAAUACAUCUGCUUUAUCCCACAUUGGAGCUUCCCCCCCCCCCCCCCCCCCACACACUUUUUAAAUGUAUUUAUUUAUUUAGUUUAAAUGAGGUCAAUCAUACCAAAUAAUUAUUUUUUGACUACAACUCCCAUAGCAGAAAUGGCAGCGUUUGUUUUUUUCACCAGAAUUAUUGACAAAUUGGAGUAUUUAUUUUCACUUUUUUUAAUUCAACCAGUUUCAUCAAAUAAAAAUAUACUAUAUUUUGUAAUAGUAGCAAUGCCAGAUUUACAUUUUUUCUUUUUUGUCCCACGACACCAAACCAAAUCAUUUUCCUUCUCUGAUGGUGGAAAUGCCCGCUUCCCCCUUUUUAUAAUAUAUAUAAUUUUGCCCCCCCACAAAAAUCUCAAAAUGAUUGCUAAAUUCCACCCAAAAUUAUGUUUAAGUUUAAAUUCCUCCGAUUUCGCCAACUAUAAGCACUUCUCUAAUUUACAGAUUUUUUUUCCCAAUUUUUUGUCUAUUUUUUUUUGUCAACGUGAUUUUUGAAAAGUGUGCCCGGUGCCAAACUGCAGUUUGUUUUCUGCUUGUACAUAGUGUACAUGUAUUGAGUGCUGCGGACUCAUUGGCUGCUGCUUCUGCGAAUGUUGUACAUGCUGUAUUGCGCAAAAUGCUCCAGAUUUAAUACGACUUUUAUUUGUUUUAAGAGGAUCAAAUGUUUACGUCAAAUCAAAGUCUUUAUUUUAUGUGUUGAAAAAAAAAAAAAACCCUCCUGGGUCUAUUUAUUGAUGUCGGGCUUUUGUCUUCAUAAUUAUUCAUUUGUUCCGCACGAAUGAAGGAUGAAUUCAACGUCAGCCGUUCACACAGAACAAAUGUGGUUGUUGAAGAUGUCACAUGACCUUUUCUGAUGCUUGAAGAAAAACACCAAACCAGCCGGGCCUGUUCUCAAUGACGCUCAUGUUCCCACCCAAGCUGAUUUGAAGUUUUAGGCUGCUGCCAGGAAUGUGUGCAUGCUUCUGUCUCUUUUUUGUUUUUAAACGACAAUAAAAACAUUGAUUUCUUA